rnacentral:rRNA from 2 species
UGGGGAAUUUUGGACAAUGGGCGCAAGCCUGAUCCAGCCAUUCCGCGUGCAGGAUGAAGGCCCUCGGGUUGUAAACUGCUUUUGUACAGAACGAAAAGGUUUCUACUAAUACUAGGAGCUCAUGACGGUACUGUAAGAAUAAGCACCGGCUAACUACGUG